CCCUUAGAUGUUCGGGGCUGCACACGCGCUACACUGGAGGAAACAGCGUGUAUUGUCCUGGUCCGAAAGGACUGGGUAAACCUGUGAAACUUCUCCGUGCUUGGGAUAGCGGAUUGAAAUUGUUUCGCUUCAACGAGGAAUUCCUAGUAAGCGUAAGUCAUAAGCUUGCGCUGAUUACGUCCCUGCCCUUUGUACACACCGCCCGUCGCUACUACUGAUUGGAUGUUUAAGCGAGGUUCUCGAACUGCUAGUGACUGAUCUUCGGUGAGGUCGCAGUGUGGGAAGUGAACCUAGCUUUGGUGUCUAGAGGAAGUAAAAGUCGUAACA
rnacentral:rRNA from 1 species